rnacentral:rRNA from 1 species
ACUUAAAUUGAAGAGUUUGAUCAUGGCUCAGAUUGAACGCUGGCGGCAGGCCUAACACAUGCAAGUCGAGCGGUAGCACAGAGAGCUUGCUCUCGGGUGACGAGCGGCGGACGGGUGAGUAAUGUCUGGGAAACUGCCUGAUGGAGGGGGAUAACUACUGGAAACGGUAGCUAAUACCGCAUAACGUCGCAAGACCAAAGUGGGGGACCUUCGGGCCUCAUGCCAUCAGAUGUGCCCAGAUGGGAUUAGCUAGUAGGUGGGGUAAUGGCUCACCUAGGCGACGAUCCCUAGCUGGUCUGAGAGGAUGACCAGCCACACUGGAACUGAGACACGGUCCAGACUCCUACGGGAGGCAGCAGUGGGGAAUAUUGCACAAUGGGCGCAAGCCUGAUGCAGCCAUGCCGCGUGUGUGAAGAAGGCCUUCGGGUUGUAAAGCACUUUCAGCGGGGAGGAAGGCGUUAAGGUUAAUAACCUUGGCGAUUGACGUUACCCGCAGAAGAAGCACCGGCUAACUCCGUGCCAGCAGCCGCGGUAAUACGGAGGGUGCAAGCGUUAAUCGGAAUUACUGGGCGUAAAGCGCACGCAGGUGGUCUGUCAAGUCGGAUGUGAAAUCCCCGGGCUCAACCUGGGAACUGCAUUCGAAACUGGCAGGCUAGAGUCUUGUAGAGGGGGGUAGAAUUCCAGGUGUAGCGGUGAAAUGCGUAGAGAUCUGGAGGAAUACCGGUGGCGAAGGCGGCCCCCUGGACAAAGACUGACGCUCAGGUGCGAAAGCGUGGGGAGCAAACAGGAUUAGAUACCCUGGUAGUCCACGCCGUAAACGAUGUCGAUUUGGAGGUUGUGCCCUUGAGGCGUGGCUUCCGGAGCUAACGCGUUAAAUCGACCGCCUGGGGAGUACGGCCGCAAGGUUAAAACUCAAAUGAAUUGACGGGGGCCCGCACAAGCGGUGGAGCAUGUGGUUUAAUUCGAUGCAACGCGAAGAACCUUACCUGGUCUUGACAUCCACAGAACUUUCCAGAGAUGGAUUGGUGCCUUCGGGAACUGUGAGACAGGUGCUGCAUGGCUGUCGUCAGCUCGUGUUGUGAAAUGUUGGGUUAAGUCCCGCAACGAGCGCAACCCUUAUCCUUUGUUGCCAGCGGUCCGGCCGGGAACUCAAAGGAGACUGCCAGUGAUAAACUGGAGGAAGGUGGGGAUGACGUCAAGUCAUCAUGGCCCUUACGACCAGGGCUACACACGUGCUACAAUGGCAUAUACAAAGAGAAGCGACCUCGCGAGAGCAAGCGGACCUCAUAAAGUAUGUCGUAGUCCGGAUUGGAGUCUGCAACUCGACUCCAUGAAGUCGGAAUCGCUAGUAAUCGUAGAUCAGAAUGCUACGGUGAAUACGUUCCCGGGCCUUGUACACACCGCCCGUCACACCAUGGGAGUGGGUUGCAAAAGAAGUAGGUAGCUUAACCUUCGGGAGGGCGCUUACCACUUUGUGAUUCAUGACUGGGGUGAAGUCGUAACAAGGUAACCGUAGGGGAACCUGCGGUUGGAUCACCUCCUUACCUUAAAGAA